GGGUUGUGAGGUUAAGCGACUAAGCGUACACGGUGGAUGCCUUGGCAGUCAGAGGCGAUGAAGGACGUGCUAAUCUGCGAUAAGCGCCGGUAAGGUGAUAUGAACCGUUAUAACCGGCGAUUUCCGAAUGGGGAAACCCAGUGUGACUCGUCACACUAUCAUUAACUGAAUCCAUAGGUUAAUGAGGCGAACCGGGGGAACUGAAACAUCUAAGUACCCCGAGGAAAAGAAAUCAACCGAGAUUCCCCCAGUAGCGGCGAGCGAACGGGGAGGAGCCCAGAGCCUGAAUCAGCAUGUGUGUUAGUGGAAGCGUCUGGAAAGGCGCGCGAUACAGGGUGACAGCCCCGUACACAAAAGCGCAUGUGCUGUGAGCUCGAUGAGUAGGGCGGGACACGUGGUAUCCUGUCUGAAUAUGGGGGGACCAUCCUCCAAGGCUAAAUACUCCUGACUGACCGAUAGUGAACCAGUACCGUGAGGGAAAGGCGAAAAGAACCCCGGCGAGGGGAGUGAAAAAGAACCUGAAACCGUGUACGUACAAGCAGUGGGAGCACCCUUUGGGGUGUGACUGCGUACCUUUUGUAUAAUGGGUCAGCGACUUAUAUUCUGUAGCAAGGUUAACCGAAUAGGGGAGC
rnacentral:rRNA from 1 species